AGAGUUUGAUCCUGGCUCAGAUUGAACGCUGGCGGCAUGCCUUACACAUGCAAGUCGAACGGCAGCACGGGAGCAAUCCUGGUGGCGAGUGGCGAACGGGUGAGUAAUAUAUCGGAACGUGCCCAGUCGUGGGGGAUAACGCAGCGAAAGCUGUGCUAAUACCGCAUACGAUCUCUGGAUGAAAGCGGGGGACUCGCAAGAGCCUCGCGCGAUUGGAGCGGCCGAUAUCAGAUUAGCUAGUUGGUGGGGUAAAAGCCCACCAAGGCGACGAUCUGUAGCUGGUCUGAGAGGACGACCAGCCACACUGGAACUGAGACACGGUCCAGACUCCUACGGGAGGCAGCAGUGGGGAAUUUUGGACAAUGGGCGAAAGCCUGAUCCAGCAAUGCCGCGUGCAGGAUGAAGGCCUUCGGGUUGUAAACUGCUUUUGUACGGAACGAAACGGUCCUUUUUAAUACAAGGGGCUAAUGACGGUACCGUAAGAAUAAGCACCGGCUAACUACGUGCCAGCAGCCGCGGUAAUACGUAGGGUGCGAGCGUUAAUCGGAAUUACUGGGCGUAAAGCGUGCGCAGGCGGUUAUAUAAGACAGAUGUGAAAUCCCCGGGCUCAACCUGGGACCUGCAUUUGUGACUGUAUAGCUAGAGUACGGUAGAGGGGGAUGGAAUUCCGCGUGUAGCAGUGAAAUGCGUAGAUAUGCGGAGGAACACCGAUGGCGAAGGCAAUCCCCUGGACCUGUACUGACGCUCAUGCACGAAAGCGUGGGGAGCAAACAGGAUUAGAUACCCUGGUAGUC
rnacentral:rRNA from 1 species